rnacentral:rRNA from 1 species
CCUACGGGAGGCAGCAGUGGGGAAUAUUGGACAAUGGGCGAAAGCCUGAUCCAGCAAUGCCGCGUGAGUGAUGAAGGCCUUAGGGUUGUAAAGCUCUUUUACCCGGGAAGAUAAUGACUGUACCGGGAGAAUAAGCCCCGGCUAACUCCGUGCCAGCAGCCGCGGUAAUACGGAGGGGGCUAGCGUUAUUCGGAAUUACUGGGCGUAAAGCGUACGUAGGCGGUGGUUCAAGUCAGAGGUGAAAGCCCGGAGCUCAACUCCGGAACUGCCUUUGAAACUAGAUCGCUAGAACAUCGGAGAGGUAAGUGGAAUUCCGAGUGUAGAGGUGAAAUUCGUAGAUAUUCGGAAGAACACCAGUGGCGAAGGCGGCUUACUGGACGAUUGUUGACGCUGAGGUACGAAAGCGUGGGGAGCAAACAGGAUUAGAUACCCUGGUAGUCCACGCCGUAAACGAUGAUAACUAGCUGUUGGGCCUCAUAGAGGCUCAGUGGCGCAGCUACGACAUUAAGUUAUCCGUCCGUGGGUAGGUACGGUCGCGAAGAAUUAAACUACAAUAGUAAGUUAGACGGCGUGGAGACGUCGCCGAACGGACGACCGACGAGGGAGGUAGG